rnacentral:rRNA from 1 species
GACGUAGGGCGCAAGCGUGUCCGGAUUUAUUGGGCGUAAAGAGCUCGUAGGCGGCUUGUUGCGUCGACCGUGAAAACCCGUGGCUCAACUGCGGGCUUGCGGUCGAUACGGGCGGGCUAGAGUUCGGUAGGGGAGACUGGAAUUCCUGGUGUGAGCGGUGAAAUGACGCAGAUAUCAGGAGGAACACCGGUGGCGAAGGCGGGUCUCUGGGCCGAUACUGACGCUGAGGAGCGAAAGCGUGGGGAGCGAACAGG